AGAUAUUCUACUGGAUGUUAAUAGGGGGGAAUAGGGGGAGAGCAUAGCGGAGCAUUAUUCAAAGACCGCGCGGAGCUGAUAGUAUCGCGAUGAAUAUGUAUUCGUGGGACACUCUGUAUAUAGGUAACGCAAUGAAAAAAAAUAAAAAAAUAAAAAACCCGUUAAUCAAUUGGCGAUGUGUUUAUCAUUUCGUAUUUCGCAAUACGUGCGCUGAAUUUAUAGAUACGUAUAUGACGUUUUCAGAGGCGAAACCAUAUUAUAGAGAGGGCACACGGGUGGGUGAAUUUCCCGACUUGCACCUGCAGAUACCCGAGUAUGGGCAGGUCGCGGCAAAAUCGAUAUGGAAAAUAACAAUCGAAGAAUGCAAUUGCCGAUUCGCGUUUUCGUACAGAGUCCGGCAAUAAACUGUAAUAUAUACACGGUUCCAGUAGUCAAAAAUCGAACGUUUACGUUAUAAUUAGUGUACGUUAUUGUGUAUACGGAACGACCGAUCCUCGACGAGACACUCGUUAUCUCGGGAAGUAUUAUACUAUAAUAUUAUUAUUUAUACUCAACGAACGUGCGGCUCUAAAAUGUUACACCAUCAUAUACGUUCACACGUACAGCACCACUGUACAAAACAUUGGCAUCUAAUCUACCCGUUGAAACGCCGCGCAAUGUGCCACCACACAAAUGUUGCUGCUCUUCUCUCCUCCUAUCCACAUUUAAAAGUGAAAUAUCUACAGAAAUCAGAAAUGUCAACAUCAAAACGUAUCAAUCAUACGAAUACUACAUGUGCGUAAAGGAUUUUUAAUAUAUCUGUAAGGUUGAAAAUCAAAAUUAGGUACUUGGGUACCCAGCCGUUUAAUUUGAUGCAAUAAAAACAUAUUAACAACGAUGAUUGUAACGAUU